GAGUACAGUCUGUCUAUAAAGUCGUGACAUGAAUGUUUGAGGAACUAACAUUAUUCAUGUGUCUGGCAACACCAAAGAUCACCAAACAUAUGUACAUCAGCUGUCAUCGAGAACAAGUUGUGGAACGAUUUUCAUUUCGUGGUUUUUAUUGUUUGACUAAUCUCCUGUAAAUUAUUACUCAGCUACGAAGAAAAGUAUAAACAAUGAGUAAAGUAAAUUGGAGUGCCACGCGGAAAGUAAUUUUUAAAGUUUUCCAGCAAUGUUCCGCGGAGUACCAAGCUGGUCAAAUUUUGUGGGAUUUUGAUGUUUUUUAUGGGCGAACAGCAUCUUUGACGGGAAAAUCAGAGAGUACUGUUAAGCGCAUAGUCAAUGAAGGUUUUCAGAAUAAUGGAAAAUUUAGAACUCCUGGGAAACACAGGCAAGGCCGACCAAAGAAAGAAAUGGAUAAUUUUAAUAUUUGUGCUCUGCGCCAAAAAAUAUAAUUUUUUACACGGUACAAAAAGAGGUCACAAAAUGUUCGCAAUCUCUAAACAUCAAAGGCAUCACAAAAGACAUUUUCAAAGGAAAGCGUUACAUCAUAGUCCAUGCUGGAAGCGAAAAGGGGUUUGUGCCAAACUGCCUCCUCAUAUUCACUGGCAGAAAUAAUUUGGAAGACUACCAUUCAGAAAUGAAUGCGCAUAACUUCACGAAGUGCAUUAAAGAAAAACUAAUACCAAAUCUUCAUGAGCCUUCCAUUAUAUUUAUGGACCUGUACCAAGACAAUUGGUUAUUUGCUUAGGCGAUAAUAACAGCAGCGAAGAUGAUGAUGUGAAUGAUGACAGCGCUGCUUAUGAAAGUGGCAACGAAACUUUUCUUAACAUCGAAAAUUUGGAAUCCGAUGAUGAAAGUGAUUAAUAAAUGUCCUUAUUAACUAUGUAUAA